rnacentral:tRNA from 1 species
GCGGUCGUGGCGGAACUGGCAGACGCGUACGUUUGAGGGGCGUAUGGGCAACCAUAUGGGUUCAAGUCCCAUCGUCCGCACCA